AUUGAACGCUGGCGGCAGGCCUAACACAUGCAAGUCGAACGGUAGCACAGAGGAGCUUGCUCCUUGGGUGACGAGUGGCGGACGGGUGAGUAAUGUCUGGGAAACUGCCCGAUGGAGGGGGAUAACUACUGGAAACGGUAGCUAAUACCGCAUAACGUCGCAAGACCAAAGAGGGGGACCUUCGGGCCUCUUGCCAUCGGAUGUGCCCAGAUGGGAUUAGCUAGUAGGUGGGGUAACGGCUCACCUAGGCGACGAGCCCUAGCUGGUCUGAGAGGAUGACCAGCCACACUGGAACUGAGACACAGUCCAGACUCCUACGGGAGGCAGCAGUGGGGAAUAUUGCACAAUGGGCGCAAGCCUGAUGCAGCCAUGCCGCGUGUAUGAAGAAGGCCUUCGGGUUGUAAAGUACUUUCAGCGAGGAGGAAGGUGUUGUGGUUAAUAACCACAGCAAUUGACGUUACUCGCAGAAGAAGCACCGGCUAACUCCGUGCCAGCCGCCGCCGUAA
rnacentral:rRNA from 1 species